CGCGCUACUCUGGCGCCGGGGCU
rnacentral:miRNA from 12 species